CCUUUUCGUUUUUGAACCCUAGCCACUGAGACAGACGAACACAGAGGAGAGAGAGAGAGGCGAUGGAGAGGCAACGGAGUUACGGCGAGGAGAGGCGGCGGUGAGGCGACUGGAGUUGAAUUGCUUGGUUUUGUUUUGAUGUCAGAAAACCCGUUGUUGUUUGCUGUUAAGUUGCCUUAGUUGAUGGCAUAUGUAAACAUUGAAGAGGAGACGUUGUUCCACUUGCAGCAGAAAUUACUUGACUUUCUCAAGUUUCUGCAGAGGAAUUAGGGCACUUUCUUCCUUUCUGCUUAUGACGCCUCUAAAGUUUCUGAAGGGAGUGGCAAGGGGAAAGAUAAUUGAGCAGCAACUUCUGUUC